UGGAUUCCAGCAGCCCAAUUAGCUGCUUCGUUCACACACUCGAUCCAUUCAUUGUCAUCAUCAAGAAAACCCAUGGCCUGGCAUGCUGCUUUAAAUGUUGCAUGUACAACUCCAGCCACUGUUCUUAUUUCUUCAUAUGACGUGCAUCCUUUGACAGUGUUCAGCAGCAUCCGGAGUGCACUAAAGGCAUGAAAGAGAAGAGGUCCGUAUGAUACUUGCCAGAGGAUGCAAUUGAAGAAUGCAGAAAGCUCUGUGGUGGACAUGGUUACUUGAACAGCAGUGGGCUUCCUGAAUUAUUUGCCGUCUAUGUUCCUGCAUGCACUUAUAAAGGAGACAAUGUUGUUCUGCUUUUGCAGGUUGCAAGGAUUCUAAUGAAGACUGUUUCUUAAUUGAUUUCAGAUGUAAAAUUAAGGCAACAUGAAAGAGAACAUGUAAAUAUUUUCUUGUUAUAGACUUCUAGCAGUUGCCGCCAAGGUAUUAAUAGAAUUUUCUUUAACCUGUUUUAGAUU